CCCCUAGUAACUGCGAGUGAAGCGGGAAAAGCUCAAAUUUAAAAUCUGGCGGUUUCACCGUCCGAGUUGUAAUUUAGAGAAGUGUUAUCCGCGCUGGACCGUGUACAAGUCUCCUGGAAUGGAGCGUCAUAGAGGGUGAGAAUCCCGUCUUUGACACGGACUACCAGGGCAUUGUGAUAUGCUCUCAAAGAGUCGAGUUGUUUGGGAUUGCAGCUCAAAAUGGGUGGUAAAUUCCAUCUAAAGCUAAAUAUUGGGGAGAGACCGAUAGCGAACAAGUACCGUGAGGGAAAGAUGAAAAGAACUUUGGAAAGAGAGUUAAACAGUACGUGAAAUUGCUGAAAGGGAAACGCUUGAAGUCAGUCGCGUCGUUCAGGAUUCAGCUUUAGCAUCUGCUAUGUGCAUUUCCUGUUUGACGGGUCAGCAUCAGUUUUGGCCGGUGGAUAAAGGUUCAGAGAAUGUGGCAUCUUCGGAUGUGUUAUAGCUCUGGGUCGCAUACAUCGGCUGGGACUGAGGAACUCAGCACGCCGCAAGGCCAGGUUCGACC
rnacentral:rRNA from 1 species